rnacentral:rRNA from 1 species
UCAGGCCUAACACAUGCAAGUCGAGCGGUUGAGGUAGCUUGCUACCGAUGCAGCGGCGGACGGGUGAGUAAUACAUGGGAAUCUGCCUGGUAGUGGGGGACAACGUUUCGAAAGGAACGCUAAUACCGCAUACGCCCUACGGGGGAAAGGGGGGGAUCUUCGGACCUCUCGCUAUCAGAUGAGCCCAUGUCGGAUUAGCUUGUUGGUGAGGUAAAGGCUCACCAAGGCGACGAUCCGUAACUGGUCUGAGAGGAUGAUCAGUCACACUGGAACUGAGACACGGUCCAGACUCCUACGGGAGGCAGCAGUGGGGAAUAUUGGACAAUGGGCGCAAGCCUGAUCCAGACAGUGCCGCGUGUGUGAAGAAGGCCUUAGGGU